GGAACAUGUGAUUAUCGUAUCGACAUUUUAACGAGGUAAAUGAAUGAAACUUGCUGCAUUUAUUCCAAAUGAUGACCACCGACCGUGGUCGGCGAUAAUUACAUUGAAUGAAACAUUUACUCAAGUACACGUCCUUAAAAUUACUCCAAAUCUAAAUGAAUUCAUGCAAAGCUUAAACCAGCUUGUGAUUGUUGAUACUUUUCAUUGUACAAUUGUUAUCCAGGUUUCUGAGUUUGUUUGCUUAAAGGAUGGUACGCUUUUAGCUGGGAUAUAAAACUGUGCUCUCUGAUUUGUUUCAGUAGAUGUGUUGUACAAACAUUUUCAUUGCUUAACGUUAUGGCACCAGUCAAAUUGUAAACUCAUUUUUGCGGGAAAGCUGUCAUGAUUCCAAAUUGAUUGGGUCUAGUGAAAAAACGGAGCCAUUGGUUUAUUGUUUGAAGUGUGAUUACAUAUAUUAUGUAGAUUGCAUCUGGAAUAUUUUUGUUUGUAUGUUUCAGUUGUAGAUAUUGGUCAUGGGGAUACUGGUCAGUAGUACAGCUCUGGGUCUUGGUUUUAUUCAAAUGUGACGGUUUGACUGUUAGUUGAUGAAACUAGCAAAUGUUUAUGUAAGAUAAUUGAUCUGAAGGAUAGUCUGAUAUCUACAUUUAAUCCUUAUGUAAUGCACUUGGAAUAAUCUUUUAUUUUUUUGUGGACAAGAUUGUAUUUUAUUGCAUAUUUUGUACACAUAUCGUACAUAAACUAUGAGAUGUAAGGAGGGUUACUACAUAUCUCUUACCUUUGAAUGCAAUUUGAAUAGAAUGUCAGUUUAUUGUUUGGUUAAAUUAAUGACUUUCUGCAGUUCUUUGAAUUUUGUUGUGUAGCGUCACUAAUGGUCAUUAAUUUGUAGGUCUCAUGUUUGCAAAAAUACCCCUUCAGUUACAGAAUGAAUCCUUGUUACAGCAGUGGCAUAUGCAUUGCUUUGGCUCUUCCCAGGAGAUUAAAACUGUGUGACAGACAAUGACUUGAAAAUGAGAACUUUCUUUUUGUGGCUUCUGGGCAUACCAAUGGAAUUCUGAAGCAAGCCAUUAGAAUUGUUACCAGUAGAUGUGAUCAGCACACAGGUAGUAUGGAGAUACUUUCUGAACUCAAAGGGAAUCCCUGGAGGGAAGACGAAGAUCUCUUCAUGAAACAUUAUUGAGGAAAUUUAGAGAACCAGAAUUUGAUGCUCACUGCAGAACAAUUUUACUGCCACCUACAUUUCAUAUACCAUACAUCAUUUGGAACAACUACCAUUCCGUUCCAGAGAAUUAAACAUUUUGAAGCCUCGUCAAGCUUUUCUCCAUUUCCAGUGUUGUCAGUGUGGAAAUUGGUAUCAGCAUAAAGGUUCUCUCAGUCGACAUCUUAGAUUAGAAUGUGGAAAAGAACCACUAUUCAGUUGUUCGUUAUGUUCGUACAAAUCAAAACAGAAACAUGAUGUAAAGAGACACUUUCUUAAAAAACAUAUGAAACAUUAAAAUUGUGGUAUCCUCUGCCAUUUCUUGUAUUGCUGCAUUAAUUUGAUACAGUUGUUCUGGAAAAGUGAUUGUAAUUGGAAAGAAUGUGUCAGAUCUUUUUGCUUAUGCAGUUGUAUCUUAAAAAACAAUGACUUCUUAAGAAAUUAUGGUUAUGAUGUGCACUUUCAUAACUUGUAACAUAAUCAUGAAAUGAAGUCUGCAUAAUUUUUUCACGUACACAGUUGAACAAUUUGGUGGCAGAUGGGAUUCAUAAUGGAGGAUGAACUACCAGAUGUCAGAUAAAUUUUGUGUCCUCCUUUCACUCUUUUGUGCUUUUCAGAAUCUGAUUUUUUGUCAUUUUUUUUGUUUCACCAAAUAAAAAUAGAGUUACUAACCGUAUACCCUUGCAUACAGGACCUCUUUGAAAAUGUUUUCCACACAAGAAACUUAUCAUUUGUCCCCCCCCCCCCCCCCCUCACUUGUUUCUCCCUCAUACACUUUCAGCUAAGUCAGUUUUCACUGCUAAUUGUGAUUCAAGCUGUACACAAAUCUUGCUCUUGAUUGAUGCCCCAAACGGCCACUAAUUAUUGUAAUACAACAAACUGUAUAGAAAUCUUUCAGUUGCAAUUCCUCUAGCACCCAUCUCCGCUUGGUGCCCCCAAGCAUAUUUUAUAUUCACGAGAAAUUGUAUUCUGUAGUCAUGAAAUCAUCUAAUUUUUUUUAAGUUGUUCUAGUGAUGUGAACAUGUUCAAGAACUAUAAAGACUAUUUCACACCUAUGAAGACUAAUCCAAAUGUUAUUAAAAUUUCUUGGUAUAAUGUUGAGCAGCGCACUUGUGAUGGCAAAUACGUUUUUAAGGUAAGAAAUGAUCAACAAACAACUGUUUUAUCUGUGCUUGUACCCCUGAAAGAAAUAUAUACUGCAAGAGCAAGAAAAAUAGUGCGUCUCGGUUUUCGGGAGGAAUUACUGUAUACUGUUAUAUGCUUUUACUUGUCAAGGAAGCUAAAUAUGAAGACAUGAAGUGUAUUGUGAUAGGAGACACAGAUUUCUAUGAGAAACAACAACUCAAAAAAUGAAGUUAGUUCAGGAAAAUCAGAGUAAAACAGUAAGUUAAAGCAAUGAGAUGAACCCACUUAUAACUUUUAGUUAUGGUAAUUUGAAUCUUUAUAACAUUUGACUGUUAUAUAUCUUACGGAGUAUUUGAUUAAAAUAUAUUUUGAAAUGAUUGACUAUUUAUUUAAUAAAAUGAGAGCUAUGUGGCAACAUGAGUUUGUAUUUGUUCAAACUAUACAAUGGGCUACUGUUAACGUCAUGUGGCUUUAAUACAAAAAAUAAUGUACAUUUUAUAUGCUCUUUGUUAGUAUGACAUUAAAGACAUGUCAACUACUCCCUACUCUACAGUCUAGCCAUCUGUGGUAAACCUAUCCACUCCAACACCAAAAUUGUGAAUGUGUACAUCUCUCACCUUGCCCCUUGCGCAAGUACCACACAGAUCUUAACCACAAAUAAAUCUCCUGGGCAGUCUCUUCAUUUGACCCUCUAACCCUUGUAGGGCCUACCAUGUCACCCAGCACAACCCAGGCCUUGAAUACUGCACACGGGAUAUAACUUUUUUCAAGUUAAACUCUCAGAUGUGAUCAUCUCUCCUUGGUAUCCUUUCCACGUUCCCCACUAUCCUCUUUCUUCAUUUUCCAAUCCUUCACAAUAAACUUUGUUUAUCUCACAUUCCCACACCAUUACCCCUACUCCACAGUUCCUAUCCCAGAAUCAUUACAACUGGGAAAACUGCCUCGUACUCCAGCCCCACAGCUGAUAAAUACUGGAAUAUUUAAACACAUGUGAAACCACCCGUGUUGUUCACCAGUUGAAUGUGUUCACUGCAUGGUUGUUUACAGAGCAACAACUUCACUGAAUUGGACCAAUGCAUCAAUGCAUGCAGAAGAAGGGUUUGUCUUGGGACCACCAAGAAUCAAUUUGACCUCCUGCUGUCUCAAAUGUGUUUUCGUGAUCCAUGGACACAAACUGCAGGAUCUAAGUCUCCAUAUACUCGCAGAUUUGAAUGCACAAAGUGUGGAAAAUCUUACAUGCAGAAGAAAACUCUCAAUAGACAUGUGAAAUUAGAGUGUGAUAAAAAGCCGCAGUUUAGCUGUCCGUAUUGCCCACAUCGGUCUAAACAAAAAAGUAAUCUGCAGCAGCACAUAAUUGCUAGGCAUACUGGCCUUUGACUGUAGGCCCAUGUUCAAAACAGCUUAUACACUAAAUUAGCCUUAGAACACUCACAAAUUAAUUGUGAUGUGACAUCAUUUUCAAAUUUUGUUGCAUACUGUUUCUAGUUUUGUUUACGACAUUCAGUUCAGUUUCCUUUUUUCUGUCACAGUUACAAAAAUACUGUUAAUAUUAGGCUCCUGUGAAAGGCAGAUCUGAUUUUAUUUGUAUAUUAUUUAGUGUGAUUCAUGAUAAGGAUAAACCUUAAGUGUUCAUCAGAAAUAGACUCUAAAAUAAUGUUUGAUUAUGUUAACUGAUAUUCUAUUACUUGUUGGUAGAACGACUUCAUAAUUAGAAAUGAAAAGCACAGAAUUGUGUAUGUUCUAUAGUACUAAAUAAAAAUUAAAAUAAUUGAAACCUUGUAUGCUUGAACUAUCUUUUGUUGUUGGAGUCUUAAAAGUAAAUGUGUCUGAUGUUCUGUUUUGGAUGGUUAUUAAAGUGAAGUACAUUAUGUACAUUUAUUCAGUUUUUUUAUCAUAAUUUAUGCACUUAAUUUCAUCUUUUUAGAGCAAGAAGUUAAACAGCAUUCCUGUUUGGUUUGAUUUCUUUUCUUCUUUCCAUGGCAUAAAGUUGAAAAAUUAAAAUCUCAGAUGAAAUGACUCAUUCAUUUUGCAUGUGGUUGAGUUGGUGGAUAGAAAAUGCCAGGCAGACUGGACUGGUUUAUUUAGCUAACAUACAUUGCAUAAUUUUUGAAGUGGUGCGUAUAUGAUAGCAAUGAAAUACACUUAUAACUGGUGUUAAGUAUGUUAUUUAUUUGUGUAAAAUGUGUUUGUUGAUAAAUUGAUUCAAAUAAUACUUGAUGCUACAUAAACAUUGGUCACAUUAACUUAUGGUCUAAAUUAUUUUCAGUGUAACUUGUUCACUCUGAGUAGGAUUUACAUAAAGUGAACUGUGAAUUAGUACAUUCAGCACUUUUAUAAUCCAGUUUGAGUGUUGUUGGGGGUGGGAUUGGGUCUACAUUUUUCUUCUCUCAGCUAGUUGAAACAGGUUGACAUUUUGAUUGUUUUUAACGAGGAAACGAAAGAUUUUAGGCUUAAUGGCCUGAAGUAAGAAAAUGUUUCACUUAGAAUUGCGAGGAUCUAGACUCAAAUAAAAGUUUUGCCAUGCUAUUUGACACUAUCCCUCUACACUCCUAGAUUCUGAUAUGAUCUUUCGUGAGGGCCAAGGCUCAAUGUGUUGUUAAGGAGAGCAAGAAAAGUUCAUGGCAAGGGUGCCUGGCCUCUAUCAAUUGACCUACUUGUUCUACAAAAGUAUUUGAAGUCAUCCAGAGAAUUUCCGGUGAACACAGUUGUUAACCAAUAGCAGCAGUGCUGAAAUAGGGGUGUCUCCAAACAAUGCUCAGAGAUGUUGCUCAGAUGAUGGCAGCAACAACUAAAGCCAAUGUCAACAAGGAUCUGGUGUUCCGCUGCUGCCGUGCAACUGCAGAGAGGGGCAAGUUGGACUUCAGAUCCCACGUUCUUUGUCUUGCAACCACUCUUUCUCCAUACAGGAGCUUGAAUUGGCGCUGUCUGAGACUCUUGAUACUGCACCUGGUCACAACCAGUAGCGGUACUGCAAGCUUAGACAUUUCCCGACAGCAUCAAAGGGAAUCCUCCUCAAAUGUUUUAAUGUUAUUUGGCAGAUGGACAACUUCCCCAACUCGUGGAGAGAGGCAAUCCUGAUAUCUCUCCUCAAGCAAUGGAAGGACUGCACAUGCCCCAGUAGUUACUGGAGUGUCUCCUUGACGAACUGUGUAGGAAAGUCUUUUGGAACAAGUGGUUAAUUGUUGUUUGGUCUGGUUGAUAGAAGCCAGGCAACUCCUUAGCUGCUCUCAGUGUGGAUUCCGACGACUUCGGUCAUUGUUGACAAACUGAUCCUACUAGAGGCCUUUCGUGUGUAAACAUCACUGUCUCGGUAUAUUCUUUUAUAUCAUUAAGGUUUAUGACAUACUUGGAGACACAGUAUUCUCAUGCAACUCAGUCAAUGGGGCUUUGGAGGCUUUCUCCCCAUCUUCAUACGGUCCUUUCUGUCUAAGUCCUUUUUUUAUGUCCCGAAUUAGAGACUUGUGUUGGAUUGUUUUGAGUAAGACAGUGAUAUUCCUCAAGGCAGUGUUUUAAGUGUUAACCUCUUUGCCAUGGCCAUACAUCAGGUCUACAGCAAGGAAUCCUGUACAGUUCUCUUUAUUUGUGGGUGAUUUUGCUUUUUUCUGUUCCUCGUCCAGAAUUGCAAUGGCGACUCAUCAGUUGCAACUUACAGUGCGGAGGUUAGAGGAGUGGGUUGCAAAGACGUAUUCUCAGUUUUUUGCAGAUAAGUUCCUUUCAUACUUUUAAUUUACCUGGCUUGCGUAUGAAGGACAUUAUUAUACAUUUGGAAAACUCAGUGAAGUUUUUAGACAUCAUUUUUUACUUCAAACUGUCAUGGUUCCCAUACCUGAGAGACCUGAAAGCCAGAACUCAGAAGGCACUAAAUAUCGUAAAGUGCCUUUGCCACAUGCCUUGGGGAGCAGAUGCUCACAGGACCAGCCCCAUACACAGUCUCUGUGCCGAGGUUGGGGAGCUGCCUCUCACCAUCCAGCGGCAGCUCUUCGUGGUGCGUUAGGCAUGUAAGUUUCUCGCAGCUCUGACUUCACUUGCAUACCAUACUGUCUGUAAAAAAGGUUACUGAUUUUCAAAGAUAGUGUACAUGAUGCCCUUUUAAUGUUUUCCUUGUUUUUCAGAUGCUGGAAGGUUAUGCAACUCUGCCACGCUGCAGACUUCCCACGGACAGCCUGCUGAAAUGCCUAGUGACUCUUCUUUGACACAACAUUUCUAUUAUACAAAGUCCAGUCUCUCUCUCUCUCUCUCUCUCUC